rnacentral:rRNA from 1 species
GAGACCCACGCCAACAGUUGCCAGCAUGUCCUCCGGGAUGGUGGGGACACUGUUGGGACCGCCUCUGCUAAAGAGGAGGAAGGAAUGGGCAACGGUAGGUCAGCAUGCCCCGAAUUAUCCGGGCUACACGCGGGCUAUAAUGGUCAGGACAAUGGGUAUCGACACCGAGAGGUGAAGGCAAUCUCUUAAACCUGUCCUUAGUUCGGAUUGUGGGCUGCAACUCGCCCACAUGAAGCUGGAAUCCGUAGUAAUCGCGUCUCAAAAUGGCGCGGUGAAUAU